GGCCCCUUCGGGGGUACACGAGCGGCGGACGGCUGAGUAACACGUAGGAACGUACCCCAAACUGAGGGAUAAGCACCAGAAAUGGUGUCUAAUACCGCAUGUGAUCUUCGGAUUAAAGCUUCGGCGGUUUGGGAACGGCCUGCGCAUGAUUAGCUUGUUGGUGAGGUAAUGGCUCACCAAGGCGACGAUCAUUAGCUGGUCUGAGAGGAUGACCAGCCAGACUGGAACUGAGAACGGUCCAGACUCCUACGGGAGGCAGCAGUAGGGAAUUUUCCACAAUGGACGAAAGUCUGAUGGAGCAACGCCGCGUGCAGGAUGAAGGCUUUCGGG
rnacentral:rRNA from 1 species